UUGAACAUAUGAUCUAGGGGUGUGGGACAAGAACAAACAGUCUUUAACAAUAGACAAGGCAGACGUCUCCAAGUGUGAUUAUGGAUAACAGCAAAAAUCAAAGGUACCUAGCAGGCACUAACACUCUGAAAUUACUAUAAUCGAAAUUCCAGGACUGAGAUCAUUUGAUGUUGAGCUACAUACAGUACUUGUGAGACCAGGUCAAUUUCUGAUUCAACUGUUUCAAGCAUGCAGUCCUUUGGAAUCCCAACCUAAAAUACAGGAUUUACUGGAGCCUCUUCAGCCACUCUUCUGUCUAGACCAUCCAUUCAGGCAUCGACAUAUUGCAACAUCACAGAAUAUGCU